GAAGAAGCAAGCCGUGCCGAAUGCAAAACUUGAAUAUUUUGGUCUAUUUUUUCUGUUAUAAUCUUGUGAUCAUUACGCAGCUCAGCUAGCCUACGCCGGUCAGCACGCACAGAGGGAAUAUCAAUAUCAGUUCUUGGGAACCCCUCAGAAUCAACUAGAUUCCCUGAAAGUCCAGGACCACCAGGUUGGCAAAGUCGCUGAAUAACAACAUCCAUCUCAGCUUCAGUAUUAGUUCUUUCAUCCAUUAACUUCAUAGUUUCUGCUUUCAAAUUUGUACCCACCAUCUUUUUUCAAAUCUUCUUAUCUGGGAU
rnacentral:misc_RNA from 1 species